rnacentral:rRNA from 1 species
AACGAACGCUGGCGGCAUGCCUAACACAUGCAAGUCGAACGGGAUCCAGGCUUCGGUCUGGUGAGAGUGGCGGACGGGUGAGUAACACGUGGGAACCUGCCUUUUGGUUCGGGAUAACCGCGGGAAACUGCGGCUAAUACCGGAUGCUCCCGAGAGGGGAAAGAUUUAUCGCCAGAAGAGGGGCCCGCGUCCGAUUAGGUAGUUGGUGAGGUAAUGGCUCACCAAGCCGACGAUCGGUAGCUGGUCUGAGAGGAUGAUCAGCCACACUGGGACUGGGAUACGGCCCAGACUCCUACGGGAGGCAGCAGUGGGGAAUAUUGGACAAUGGGGCAACCCUGAUCCAGCAAUGCCGCGUGAGUGAUGAAGGCCUUAGGGUUGUAAAGACUCUUUUGUCCAGGGAAGAAUGAUGACUGUACCUGGAGAAUAAGCCCCGGCUAACUACGUGCCAGCAGCC